GCGCGGUUAGUUCAGAGGUUAGAAUUCUCGCUUCCCAUCCUCCAACGUGGGUUAUAGCGAGGGACCCGGGUUCGAAUCCCGGGCUGCGCA